rnacentral:rRNA from 1 species
GAUGAACGCUGGCGGCGUGCCUAAUACAUGCAAGUCGAGCGAACAGACGUGGAGCUUGCUCCUCUGACGUUAGCGGCGGACGGGUGAGUAACACGUGGAUAACCUACCUAUAAGACUGGGAUAACUUCGGGAAACCGGAGCUAAUACCGGAUAAUAUAUUGAACCGCAUGGUUCAAUAGUGAAAGACGGUUUUGCUGUCACUUAUAGAUGGAUCCGCGCUGCAUUAGCUAGUUGGUAAGGUAACGGCUUACCAAGGCAACGAUGCGUAGCCGACCUGAGAGGGUGAUCGGCCACACUGGAACUGAGACACGGUCCAGACUCCUACGGGAGGCAGCAGUAGGGAAUCUUCCGCAAUGGGCGAAAGCUUGACGGAGCAACGCCGCGUGAGUGAUGAAGGUCUUCGGAUCGUAAAACUCUGUUAUUAGGGAAGAACAAAUGUGUAAGUAACUAUGCACGUCUUGACGGUACCUAAUCAGAAAGCCACGGCUAACUACGUG